rnacentral:rRNA from 1 species
GACGAACGCUGGCGGCGUGCUUAACACAUGCAAGUCGAACGGAAAGGCCCUGCUUGCAGGGUGCUCGAGUGGCGAACGGGUGAGUAACACGUGGGUGAUCUGCCCCUUACUUUGGGAUAAGCCUGGGAAACUGGGUCUAAUACUGGAUAGGACCAUGCUGUAGGUGGUGUGGUGGAAAGAUUAGUUUCGGUAAGGGAUGAGCUCGCGGCCUAUCAGCUUGUUGGUGGGGUAAUGGCCUACCAAGGCGUCGACGGGUAGCCGGCCUGAGAGGGUGGACGGCAACAUUGGGACUGAGAUACGGCGCAGACUCCUACGGGAGGCAGCAGUGGGGAAUAUUGCACAAUGGGCGCAAGCCUGAUGCAGCGACGCCGCGUGGGGGAUGACGGCCUUCGGGUUGUAAACUCCUUUCAGCCAUGACGAAGCCCUUGUGGUGACGGUAGUGGUAGAAGAAGCACCGGCUAACUACGUG